rnacentral:tRNA from 1 species
GCCUGGGUGGCUCAGUUGGAUAAGCGUCUGACUUCAGCUCAGGUCACAAUCUCAGGUUUGUGGGUUUGAGCCCCACGUCAGGCU